UACAGAGACCUCAAGCGUUAUCCGGAAUCAUUGGGCGUAAAGCGUACCGAUAGGUGGCUUUGAAAGUCAGAAGUGAAAUCUUUAAGCUUAACUUAGAGAAUGUCUUUUGAAACUUCAAAGCUCGAGGGGCAAAGAGGAAGCUGGAACGAACGGUGUAGUAGUGAAAUGCGUAGAUAUCGUGAGGAACACCAGAGGCGAAGGCGGCUACCUGGACAAUUGCUGACACUCAGGCACGAAAGCGUGGGGAGCAAAAGGG
rnacentral:rRNA from 1 species